rnacentral:misc_RNA from 1 species
GGAAGAUGAAUGCUAUGGGUAUUCUUGGUUUUUCUUUGUACAAGAGGCUUGCCUUCUGUCACAUAUAUAUAUAUAUAUUUCUGUUUCACUUGUAUUUCUUCAUUUAUCUCCUAAAACAGUUCUCCUAGUGGCCUGUGGUUUUUGAGCUCAAGUAGAUGAUUGAUUAUCAUGGCGAUAUUUGUGCUGCUUCAACUUUGGUCUUAUAUAUGUCAUGAGUUUGUCCAAUCAUUUACAUCCCUUAUAGUCACC